rnacentral:lncRNA from 1 species
GCAAGAUGAUGGGUUAACAAAGUUAAUCAUGUAUCAAUAAAAAAGUAUCAAUUUGAUUAACGGUUUUUAAAUUCAAGUAAGUAGAAGCUAAAAUAUACAUUUUUAUUAACUAAUUACUAUAACAUUUAAAUUUUCUUACGUGAUUUGAUUCAACCGACUGAAAGCAUAAGUAUAUUAUAGACCCUGAUGCUUGAAAAUCAAACGAAAAAGAAACAUAAGAUCAUAAUACAGAAGACAAAAAGAAAAUACAACUAUGGUAAAUCACUAAAAAACACAUGUAUUUUACUACCCAAGCUACUAUUGCUGAAAAAUUAUUCAAAAUUACUUACUAUUAAUGAGACUUUGCUCAAUUUGGGCCGGGUUUGCUGAACAAUCUGACCUUCGAUCAAAUCGAUGGCACUUGCUGCGAACUUGACAAACAUACCAUCUUGCGUAGUUGGUGGUGAUUGGAAUUUGAUGAUAAACUCCGGUAUCGGGUUGUUGGACAAGGGUAACAACUUGCGGUCCAUGAUAAAUGUAUUGGUUCGGAACUGCACAUCGAUAAACCGUUGCGUCUCCGACUUGCCGGCCUUUUGAUUCCGAUGCAACCUUGAUAAGAUGACCUAUUGAACAUGCCAUGGAGCUACGUAUUUCUUUUCGUUUGGUGUUGGUUUUUUUGCCCUUUCUUAUAUGGUUAAUUAGAGGCUUAGGCACCCAUAUUUAUAUAGGAAGUCUAGGAUAUCUAGCUGAAGCUUUU